CUCUAUAGACACGGUUGCACCUCAUCCCCGCCACACUCCUAUAAGGGUCUCUUUCUCACAGGCAAGCAAAGCUGGGGUCAUAGACAUGGAGAUUUUCGCCUUUAUCAGGCAGCCAGAAAGCGAGCCAGCAGGUUUAAGCCAGCUGCUUGAACACAAAACACCCUCUCCUUGGUGCACACGAUGGAGCAGAAGUGAGAGGUCAUUUCAAAGCCCCUGCUGCACUAUGGCUCAGCAGCCAGAGAUCCUCUGGAGCACUCUUGGGAAACCCAGAGCAAGUGCCAUGGGACCAUGUGCUGAAGCCUGGCCAGCAGGAUACUGGUAGACUGUGGGAAAGAAAGUUUGACCUAAGGAUGCACAGUAUUCAGCCAGCUGGAAACCAGGUAGGAAGCAAAGCCUUCAAGGGAACUGUCUUAGGAACUCCAGGCAGCACAGGGUGGGGCCAGCAUUUGCCACUAGGUUGCUAAUGGAAACUGGAACCUUGAAGGGACAGCUGGGCCAGCGUCAGUAAUCUGAUCAUCCAAAGGAAGACCUGCAGAAGAGAACAGGGUCACCCAUCGCCCAUCAUGGAGGGAUGCCCGGGGUGCUGGGUUACUGCUAACGAACUGGGUGUUGCCAUGUGAGGUGUGCAGCUUUCCAUUCUGAUGGAGCCCGUGGGAAUGGUGACAUGGCAGAGCACUCGGGGUCAUCUCUUUGACCCAAAGGCAGCCGAUUAGCAAACUACAAUAACUUCUGACAUCAAUGACCCAGAAUCAAGAUACGAAGUUCCAAGUGGCUUCCUAGAUGCAGGUCUUGGGACAAGGGUGUCUCCAGAGCUGAUGAAUCGACCUUGACCCUGUUUCCAGCCCAGCCCUUGGCAACCAACUUCUUUCCCUCCACGUCCAGCCUGCCACCCACAGCUUGUGCAGCAACGUGCACAGAAACAUUUAUGUCUCCAGCUUUCACAUCCUCGCGGCGACGACUUCCUCAAACUGGUUACUUAAUGAACGUCAUCCAAUUCCGCUUCUGUCUUGCCACAGCCUCAUUUGCGAAAGCCAAUCUGCUUUAUGAUUUUAACCUCUGGCUAGAAACUGCUCCCAAUUUCAUGUCAUCCAUAAACUUGAUGAACGAUUA